ACCAAUCGUGUGCAAGCAUGGGGGUGUGGCUUGAGUGGUAGACCUGAGUGAAGACUUCAGCCCCUAGUCUUCACUCAGGUCCACUCACUGGGCACUCAUCAGCUCAGUUGGAGCUGGAUUCUCCACCUCCCACUCUAUGUAGCAUAUGGUCCUACUUGGAGGUGAGAGAGGAUGCCCUACCUAAGAUCUUGCUAUGGGGAUAUUUGGUCGCUGUAUUCAGGGGCAAGGAUGAAUUUGCCUGCAGAGAAAUUGGGCCUCUCUGAGGGUUUUGCCUACCUCAAAGCAAUUGUCACAACUUGUUGGCAUAUAAGGCAUUGGGUUAGAUCCUUAGUCUAGGUGGAAGCAGGGGAGUUGGGAGCCCACCCACACCUGCUUCUGGGAAUUGGAGGUACCCCAUUAAAGGUUCCCAGAAUGGUGGUGUUGGAGGGAGUGCUCCUAUUUGAUGUACAUCAUAGGAAGAUCCUUAACCCAGGAUCAACCCUGCAAAAUAAGCAACCAGAAGUCAGGCUGGAUGAUUUAGGAUAUAUAACCAAUGCCUACAGUGAGGGGGGGGGAGUAUUUGAUCCCCUGCUAAAUUUGCCCGUUUGCCCUCUAAUGAAUUAAUGACCAGUCCAGAAAUUUAGCUGGGGAACAAAUACGUCCCCUCUCCACUGUAUACCAAAGCCUUCUUAUAUCUCUAAUCUGUAAAUUUGUGGCCUGUUUGAACUGAAGAUGUUUGCCCUCCUCCACCUCCUCCUGGCACCGCCACUGGCAGGAGGCUGCUUUGACCUUCCUUCCCCUCUGUGGCAAGAGAACAAUACUUUUUGGACACUGGGGGACGUGGCCCACACCCCAAAAAUAUUCAGGGGGCCAAAAGGGCUCAGCUCCCAGGAAGAACUAAGAGCCUGAUGGAUCAGACCAAAGGCCCAUCUAGUCCAGCAUCCAGUUCUCAUAGAGGCCAGUCAGACUUCUAUGGGAAACUCACAAGCACAACAGCUGUGUCCCCACGAGAUUACAAGAGGUCAAACAAAUUGGAUGUACCAUGCCAUAUUAGAAGCAAAAAAAACCUUGUUUUGAUGAAUUGGAAGAGAUUCCAUUGAGCACAUGGAUUGAUAAUAUGGACAGACUAGCUUCAUACAAACAAAUUGCACGUCGUCGCAAAUUAAGAAUGGAUAAAUAUGAAGAAAUCUGGAAGGAAUAUUUAAGCGAUAAGGCGGACAGUGGAGGGAAAUAGGGGGAAGAGAGGUGGGGAAAUAUUGUUAAAAAGGUGUAGUCAUAGGUAUAUCAGUACUCAAAUCUGAAAUGUUAAAUUGUGUUGUUAUUGUGGUUUUUCUUGUAUGUGUUUUUUGUGGUUGAAUAAAAUGAUUAGAAAAUUAAAAAACAAAAAACAAAACAGCAACUGGAAUUCAGAGGUAUAUUGACUGAAAGUGGAGGUAAAACAAAGCCAUUGUGCCUAGUCGCUAUGGAUAGCGCCUCAUUGCCUCUAAUCUUCUUUGGAAGCCAUCCAAUUUGGUGGCCAUCGCUGCCUCCUGUCAGAGAGAGCUCCACAGUUUAACUAAUCUGAAGAAGUGUGCAUGCACACAAAAGCUUAUACUCAGAACAAACUUAGGUGGUCUCUAAGGUGCUACUGGACAUUUUUUUUAAUUAAUUUAUUUAUUUUGACACUUUAACUAAGUGCAGUAUGAAGAAGUGCUUUCUUUUGUCUGUUCUAAGUCUUCCAUUGAAUGUCCCUGAGUUCUAGUGUUAUAAGAGGAUACAAACUUUUCUCUGCCCACUUCCUGCACACCAUGCAUAAUUUUAUACUUCUCUAUCAUGUCUCCUCUUAUUUGCCUUUUCUCUAAACUAAAGAGCCCCAAAUGUCAUAACCUUUCCUCAUUGGGAGUUGCUUUAUCCCCUUAAUCAUUGUGGUUGCCCUUUUCUGAACCUUUCAGUGGGAACAGAGAUCAUAUGGAUUACUUCUGAAUUAUUUCUGUGUGUGGCCUGUGAGGGAUGGAGAAUGAUUCUUUUUGCAACUGUCUAACUCCUGUUUCAGAGAACAAUUUUUAAGUGACACAUUGCCCAAUCUGGGGACGUUCAAUAGAUGGGAAGUAGGGUAUGCCCUGAAAGAAUCAAUAUAUAGAGAUGGACUUAAGUAGCUUAUAGAUUUGACCUCUUCUCCACAGCCACAAAAUGGCAUCUGUUACUGCCACUAGAAUAGUCUUUGUCAUAAAUAGGUCAUAGGUUUAACUGCUGAGUAGAGUUCAGAAUGCGGGUAAAUUAUAUUCUUAUGGCCCUUAGUGUUUUUAGCAUUUAGGUAAGAUGUUGGAUAUAUGAUAUUAGUGUAAAGAUUUUCUUGACCCAAAGGGAAUGCCACACAUUUCAUGGCAGAUAGAAUGUUUUCUGAUGAGGUCAUGCCACCUUCAUUUUAAUCAUCAGUGAGUCUAUGGUUUUGGCUCAUGAGAGGAUUAAAAAAGAAAAGAAAAGACCAAUCUUUUACACAAGUUAUGGUUUGAACAUUCAUUACUCUUACAAAUGAUUCCAGUGCUGAGGGAUAGCUUAAUCAGUAGAGCAUCUCAGGGUUGUGAGUUUGAGCCCCAUGUUGAGUAAAAGAUUCCUGCAUUGGACUAGACAAUCUUCAUGGUUUCUUCCAACUCUACAGUUCUAUGAUUUUGUGAUGAGUCCAGUCAAUUUGUGCAUCCUUGGAUUGCUGACUUUUUAAAAAAUUCCAGGCAACAGCCAAUAAACGUGUUAGGCAAAGUUGGCCAGCUACCUACCUACAACCAAUCUAAUUACAACAAAAACUAAACCUGAAGAAUGGAAUAUGUAAGAGGUUUUUUUUUAGUGUGUGUGGCAACCAUCAGAAAAUAGUCCCAUUACAUCUUUGUUAUGGUUUUAUUUUUGUUUUCAAAUUUCAGUGGGAUCAAAUGGAUAUGUAUGUGCUUUUUAAUGCACAUAUAUAUUUGCUCUGGGUUCACUCCCUGACAUCUCCAACUAAAGGAUAUAAAGUAGCAGGUGGAGAAAGAUUUCCUCACAAGACCUUCAAGAAUUAAUUGGUACAAUAAGCCUGCAACUUACGUGAGGGUUUUGUUCCACGGAUUGUGCCUAAAGCUAAAACUGUGUAUAGUCAAAACCCAUUGGGUUCAAUGGCAGGUGGGAUUGCCAACAUCAUUUUUCUUGAAACCGCACUUCCUUUCCAUCCCCUUUUAAUUUUUAUUUUAUUUUUGCCACAUGUGUAAAACUGAAUGUUCACAAGUUAAAUGUGCAUAACCUGUGGGCUUUUUUUUUUAGUGUACUAGAUAGAGCAUUGGUUUGACUUUUUUUAAGGCAGCAUUUGAUUUCAAACUGGUAACAUUCUUGGAAUAAGUAGAGAGAUCAACUCUGUCCUUAUAUAUCCCCAUUGAACUAGCGCUGUGCCAUAAAUAUUUAAAAGUUCAUGCUCAAUUAUGGAAUAUAUCUUUUCAAGAAAUAUAUAAUUUAAUAAAACUGUCAUAUAUAAUUGUGGUAACAGAACAAAGCUCUUUGAAGAAUAUCUUAAGAAAAUGAUGAUGCUAAAUCACCUUUUUACAAAAAUCUGCAGAUGAUGUAUUUCAUUGGGAACUGAAUCUAAUGGAGUAAUAUCUUACUCAAAAAAUCUCACUCCAACAGAAGUUUGUCCCUUUUUAAGGUACCACAAGAGACUUAGCUGUUUUUGCAACAGUAGAUAAACAUGGUUUUGAAUCUGGAAUGGAAUUGUGGUUAUUUUAUUUCCUGUUUCCAUUAUUCAUCCACUAAUGUUUUCUACUUGUGAAAAAUAGUCCAGUUCAUUUACAAUGUAGUAUUUUCACUGGAGGGCCACUGUGGAAAAGAAGUCAAAGUGUCUAAUAUCAUGCCCCUUUGACAAAUCAUGUACCUCACUUUCUUAUUAAAUGUAUAUCCUGCCUUUCCAGGUACUGGUCUUGAAGCUGAUUAAGAAAAAUAGAAGCAAUAUGCAAAUAAUUACACAAAGAGAGAAAUUCCAAAUUAAAACAAGUGAUAGAGCAAAAACAUGAGCAGAUAGAAACAAAAGCAGAAUCAAGGAGAGGCCAACUGAAACCCAUAUUCAAAAGCAAUAUUCACUCCGGUAGGACAAAGGCAAAUUAAUCAAUCAAUCAAGUCUUCAGUGCACCAUAAAAGGCUAACAGAGAAAGUCCUAGAAGGGUCUCCCUGGGAAUGGAGUUCUGAUUUUCAAUUCAUUUAUAGAGUUCUAUUUUUACCUUAGUUAGCUGAGGGCGGUGUUUGUGUCAUAUCAUUAUAUACAACAAUACUUUGAAUGACAAAACCUUGGCAACUCUUGAACAAUUUGAGAUAGUCAAUAUGACCACCAAAUAAGUUUGGCAGCAGUACAACAAACAAAAAAAGUAGUCUCCCCAAUAUAUUUCUGAUGUUAUAUUUCAGGUAUGCCUAACAGCUAUAUUCAAUGAGCAUUUAAAAACGCCAACCCCAAAUGACAAUUGUAAUAUGUUGGUGACCAAACAAAUUUCAAGUCCUUGUGACUGCUGAAUCUUUUCAAAGGAAGGAGGAAAGGGGGAAAUGUUGGUUGUAAGUCCCGGAAGACCUGUUCCCUGCCUUGCAUAUCUUUUCCACCUGACCUUGGAUGGGAGGGCCCUGACUAAUUCCAGCUACAAAAGCUGAGGGAGUUGAACAGACUCUUGGGCCUGGGGUGUUGCUUAGUGGUUUCGUUGGCAGGCUUUGUUGCUGCUAUUGAUAUUAUUUUUUGUAUCUUUAUUUUUAGAUCUUAUUAUGAUUUAAUAUGGAAAUUGUUGAUUUAGGUGUAUACAUUUUGAUGUGUUUUAUUUAUUGGUUAUGGCUAUUUUUAUUAUAUUUGUAAUUAUGUAAUUUUUUUCGUGUUAUAAGCCGCCUUGACAUGGUUUUGACUAUGGAAAGGCAGCUUACAAAUAAAAUGUCUGCCUGCCUGUAUGAAAUACACUGCAAUGUGAUGCCUACUUUAAAGCCUCAAAUAUUGGAAUGAAAGUUGAUGAGCAUGAGCAACAUUUCUAACUCUGAACCAGACACCAGACCCUUUUUCAAGGGGAUCAGGAAAUGUGUUAAGCACACUGCAAUGAGAUCAGUCAUCUCCUUUGAGGAAAGGGAUGUGAAAAGGAUCUAGGAGUCUUAAUAGACCACGAGCUUAACAUUAGUCAGUGAAAAAGAAAAAGAAAAAUAGUACAUUGUGUUUACUAUAGUCAAUGAUGGUUUAAAAUUGCUUAACGUCAUAUUUUGUCAAUGUUUCACAUUUUUUUAAAAUCCAUUUUCCUCACCACCAUGUCAUGCUAAAAUUUGUUUGAUCACAUUGAACUGCAACAUAAAAACACUACGUAAGAAUUAUAGUGAUAUUAUAUUUAGUGUGCCCUUUGUAGUUGUGUGUGCCAACAAUUUAGUGUGUUAUUCGUAAAUGUGUGUGCCAACUAUGGAAAUAUACCGCUUCUGUCUGGGUUUAACCUUCCCUUUUGGAAGGCAGGAUAUAAAAGAAUGCAACUCACAAGGAUAAAUCAUAGAAUCAUAGAAUCAUAGAGUUGGAAGAGACCACAAGGGCCAUCGAGUCCAACCCCCUGCCAAGCAGGAAACACCAUCAGAGCACUCCUUAUAUAUGGCUGUCAAGCCUCUGCCUAAAGACCUCCAAAGAAGGAGACUCCACCACACUCCUUGGCAGCAAAUUCCACUGUUGAACAGCUCUUACUGUCAGGAAGUUCUUCCUAAUGUUUAGGACAAUAUAGAGGAGACAUUACUGAGAAUAUAUCAAUGUAGGAAUCAUAUGGCAUCAUAAAACAACUAUUCUAGUUUUUGAUUAAUCACAAUGAUUAUUCACAAUGGUCAUGUUCGUGUAAAAAUAAAAAUAUGGAUAGUGAUGUCAAGAAGGCAUGACUGAAAUGAAAGAGAACAUCAGAAUACAUUGGAAAGAUCAUUCUUCCAGAUUUUGUGCUCCACUGAUUUACUCAUUUUUUUUUUGUCUUUUCCUUCUCACUUCUCCAAAUUUUAUAAUACAUUUCUUCACCCUUAAAACUGCAUUAAAAAGAACAUAUAUUGUGGGAAACAAAGUAAAAACAAUGCAAGAUUUAAAAAAACCCUAUGCAAAUUGAUGUAAAAAUGGGACAAUCUGAAUUUAAGACUGGUUAAACAAGAAAUGGAUAUAAACCAAAAUUGACAGAUCCAUCAAUCCCUAAGUAUUUGGCAUUGCAGAGCACGCUCUCGACAAUUGAGCUAUGGGCCUUCUGUGACUCCUGCUCUGUAUUAGAUUUUAGCAAUUUGUAGACUUUAUUUCAAAGAUUCAUUCAUCAUAUAACUAUCAUUUCAUUUUAAGCUUCAUUUAAAAUGGAGGGAAAUACAAGGUGGAAUCCAGUUUUGUGUGAGUAAAAUUCCAUUCCUUCCUCUGGGGCAGAUUGGGGAGAUAUUUAGAGGGUUGGAAAGAAGAAGAAAGGAAAUGUCCCAUGGAAUUUUUAGCUCACCCAUAAAAGUCUCACAAUGAGAGGAAUUCCUAGAAACAGUGGACAUCCUAGUCUCUCACACUAGACUUCCUUUUUAUGGGCAGGCCCAAGGUGGAUGGUACUUCCUCAGGCUGUCCAGAGCUGUGUCCCAUUCAGCUGCUCUCUCCACACCCAGUUUCAGGGGCAUCAGGUUUGUUGUGUUUCCCAAGGGUCCAAAAGCUUGCAAGAGCCCCCCCCCCCCACAGCUCUUUCUUCACUCUCUGCCCUUUCCUCCUCUUCCAGCUGCUCCAUACUGGAUACACUGUGAGACACUGUUCUCUUUGGACAGCAUCGUCUCCCUGCUUCUAUUACUGAAAGUCAAAGGAAGCUAACAAAUCAAGUGAUAAGAACUGAUGAGAGAAUGGGUGUCAUGCUUUCAGUUUUAGGAAACAUCGUAAACACAGGAUAGUUCCUGCAUUGAUAACAACUGUUUUUGAACAGAGCUUGCAUGGGAGUGGGGCGGGGAGUAGGAAUGUGUAACCACUACUGAAUUUCUCAUCGGAAGCUAUCAUUCUGGUCCAAAUGAUCUUGCAUGAAAAUUGGAAUCACAUGUGAUAAGUUGUUUUUUUAACCCUUUCCCCAAUGUUUUAUUUAGUUCAUUAUUAGUCUACACUUUUAAUGCUGUGCACAUUCUCUCUCUCUCUCUCUCUCUCUCUCUCUCUGUGUGUGUGUGUGUGUGUAUGUGUGUAAAAUCUAUUGACCUUUGCUUUGUAGAACCAGAAUGGGUGACUGAUUAGUACUGAUGAUUAGCAGCUUUCAACCUUUUGCAGGAGCACUGAAAUACCUGCUUCCUCCUGGAUUGCCCAGUAUAGUGUUCGGUAAUUUGUGCACACAUUCAAGUGUUAUCUCCAAAAAGUUAUCAGGAAUGUGCAGAUACUCUGGGGGGAAAAAAUCAGUAGUCUUAUCAAAAUCACUUUUUUUACUUUCCUCAAAUGUUUAAUUUGACCAGGGUUCUUCGAAUUUACCUCAAAAUUUGGUAGCAACUAGAAUAAAUUUGUUACUUACAUUAGUUAAAGGUACAGGUAGCUGCCAAUGUAAGGUGUGACUUCUGAAAGCAAUACAAGAUGAAAGGGAGCCACAAACCAAACACCAGCAAAGAACCCAUGUAUAAUUCCUCCCCAUCCUUAUCUUCAGAGACAGAUGCCUAAUUUGCCAUUGCAUCCAUGACAGGGAUUUGAAAGUAAUAAGCAACAGGUCUCCCUGCGUGUGUUUUUCUAGCUCUAACAUGCCUUAGGUUUGUUGGCAGAAACAUAACAGAAACAUAUUUGUAUUUUAUCCUAGAUAGUUACUGGUUGAUUAGGUUGCUGAUAAAUCUAACGGAUGAAACUGCGGCAGCAUUCAAAGUGACUGAAGCAAAGGAAGGGUGAAGGCGACAACCAAGAUGAAUCUUCAUGCUGCCAAUUUCAGUAGGAGACCCACAUUCAUUCUAAAUUGGAGGAGGAUAAAUAGGGAUAAAUGUAAUGACGGCCUUUUGUUCUGAGGAUCCUGUCGUGGAGCACUUGAAAGCCUCAGCAAAUAAUGAGAGAGGCAGGAAGAACAGCAGCAAGUGCAGGAGGGAAACAGUGAGGCAGAGAGCAAGAGAACACCUAGAGGGAAUAUCUGUCUUUAUAAUCAUCCCAGAGACAAAAGGAAAAGCUCAGAAGCCAUCAGAACUUGCUGCGAGCAAUAAUCUGAAUAUAAAAGUGCAAAGGGCUACAGUAGAUCAUGUGCUCCAGCAGCAACACUUCCCUCUCCCUGAAAACCUCUUCAGCAUUUAUCCUGCAUUAUAAAGCUUUGAUUUACCUCCAA